AGGAACUCAAAAGUAUAUAUAUUUGAAAGGAAUCAGUCAGAAAGUCAGAAUACUACUGAUUCGAGUUAAAGUAUCAGCUUGUCGACAGAGAUAAUACCUGACAACAAGAAAAUGAAGAUCCAAAUUGUGUUUCUGCUCUUUGCUUUGGUGGCUGUGAUCAGUGCAGCACCAACUCAAAAUGAUGCUGCACAAGUCAAAGCGUCUGAUUCAGCCAACCAUGAAAAGGUUAACAGUGAAGAGCCAAAGAAUGAUGCCGCUGCUGUUCAAGAGCCCGAGAACGA